CAGCCGUAAACAAUGUGCGUUAGGUGUGUCGGUAACCACGCGUUACUGAUGCGCCGAAGAGAGAUCGUGAAACGCACCACCUGGGAAGUACGGUCGCAAGGCUGAAACUUAAAGGAAUUGGCGGGGGAGCACCACAACAGGUGGAGCCUGCGGUUUAAUUGGAUUCAACGCCGGGAAGCUCACCGGAUAGGACAGCAGAAUGAUUGCCGGGCUGAAGACCCUGCAUGACUAGCUGAGAGGAGGUGCAUGGCGUCAGUGACU
rnacentral:rRNA from 1 species